GAUAAUCCAGGGACUUUGGUUGAGCCUCUGCGGUGAUGGUAUCUACCUUGCCAUGAUUCAAAUCCAACCUAUUCUCUACAUUAGAUUUUGGGAGGCCCAAGUAAUGGAUCUAGAGAUUAUGGGGCACAUAAACCAGUUUAUCCCCGAUGGAUACAACAAUGGCAAUUUCAAGAUAACUGACGAUGGGUUAUGCUGAUUCUAUAAUUUGGGUACU
rnacentral:lncRNA from 1 species